GAACCCUGCCGUGAGGUGGGGGUGCCUUCGGGAGCCUGGAGACAGGUGCAGCAUGGCUGUCGUCAGCUCGUGUCGUGAGAUGUUGGGUUAAGUCCCGCAACGAGCGCAACCCUUGUCCUUGAUUGCCAGCGGGAAAGCCGGACUCUUAGGAGACACUGCCAGGGAAAAACCGGAGGAAGGUGGGGAUGACGUCAAGUCAUCAUGGCCUUGAUGGGCAGGGCGACACACGUGUUACAAUGAGGGGUACAAGGGGGACCCAAGCCGCGAGGCGGAGCCAAUCUCAAAAACCCGCUUUCAGGCCGAAUCAGAAUCUGCAACUCGACUCUGUGAAGUCGGAGUCGCGAGUACUCGUGUAUCAGCCAUGCCGCGGUGAAUACGUUCCCGGGUCUUGUACAC
rnacentral:rRNA from 1 species